GGCACGAUGCCAGAGUGGUUAAUGGGUAAGACUUGAAUUCAGUGCGAGUUCAGCUAUCUUAUGGCUUCGGCCUCGUAGGUUCAAAUCCUGCUCGUGUCG